rnacentral:misc_RNA from 1 species
UGGCUCUCGCAUCGAUGAAGAACGCAGCGAAAUGCGAUAAGUAAUGUGAAUUGCAGAAUUCAGUGAAUCAUCGAAUCUUUGAACGCACCUUGCGCUCCUUGGUAUUCCGAGGAGCAUGCCUGUUUGAGUGUCAUUAAAUUCUCAACCUCACCUGGUUUUUGACUUGUGUGAUGGCUUGGAUUUGGGAGUUGUGCAGGCUGCAGUUCUGUAGCUCUGCUCUCCUUAAAUGUAUUAGCAGGUCUUUUUACCUCUAUCCCAACAGUGUGAUAAUUUAUCUACGCUGCUGGUUUGGAGUCCCAUUUAUGGGGGACUGGCUUCUAACCGUCUGCAAGGACAACUUGACAUUCUUGACCUCAAAUCAGGUAGGACUACCCGCUGA